AUGGCGCUUGCGAUCUCGAUGGAAGCCAUAGAUGCGCGCGCGCGGGAGCUGGGGAUCGACCUUGACUCCGUCGACGUCGACUCCAUAACCCUCCCGCCCGGCGAGGACUUCGGUAUCCUCAGUGACGACGAGGAUUUGCUUCAGAACGAGGACAUUCCAGAGCUUGAGAUGGGUUUUGCAAACAUUAUUGUGGUGGACAAUCUGCCGGUCGUUCCCCCAGAGAAGUACGAGAAGCUGGAGAAUGUUUUGCGCAAGAUAUAUGGUCAGCUUGGUGUGAUCAGAGAAGGUGGGCUUUGGAUGCCUACGGACCCAGAGACUAAGAAGACCCAGGGCUACUGCUUCAUUGAGUUCAAUACUCCGCAGGAAGCUGAGUUUGCUAUGGAAAAAACACGUGGCUACAAACUGGACAAAUCUCACAUAUUUGCUGUUAAUAUGUUUGAUGACUUUGAGAAGUACAUGAAAGUUCCCGAUGAGUGGGCGCCUGCUGAAAUCAAGCCAUACACUCCUGGAGAAAAUCUUCUGAAGUGGUUAACUGAUGAUAAGGCCAGAGAUCAGUUUGUGAUCCGUGCUGGUACGUUCACGGAAGUGUACUGGAAUGAUGCUAGGCGGGCAAUGCCUGAGCUUGUGUACCAAAAGCAGUACUGGACGGAUAGCUAUAUUCAAUGGUCCCCUCUUGGAACACACUUGGCUACCGUGCAUAGGCAGGGCGCGCAGGUGUGGGGUGGUGAUGAUAAGUUUGUUCGUCUAAUGCGCUUUCUUCAUCCACAGUUGAAACUCAUCGAUUUCUCUCCCGGUGAGAAAUAUUUGAUUACUUACAGCAGCCAUGAGCCCAGCAACCCCAUAGACACACAUAGGGUUGUACUAAAUAUCUUUGAUGUACGGACUGGAAAAGUAAUGCGGGAGUUCAAGGGAAGUGCUGAUGAUUUCACUACUGGUGGAAAUAUGGGUGUGUCUGGUGUUUCAUGGCCUAUCUUCAGGUGGGGUGGUGGAAGAGAUGAUAAGUAUUUUGCUAGGCUUGGAAAGAAUGUUAUAUCUGUCUAUGAUACUGAGACGUUCGCUCUUAUUGAUAAGAAGUCCUUGAAGGUAGAAAAUGUGGUUGACUUCAGUUGGUCUCCCACUGACCCUAUCAUAUCACUCUUUGUGCCUGAAUUGGGUGGUGGAAAUCAGCCUGCCAGGAUGAGUCUUGUGCAAAUUCCGGGCAAAGAGGAGAUUCGGCAGAAAAAUCUUUUCAGUGUGAGCGACUGCAAAAUGUACUGGCAAAACAAUGGAGAAUAUCUGGCUGUCCAGGUAGACAGGUACACAAAAACAAAGAAGAGCAUUUACACUGGGUUCGAGCUGUUCAGAAUCAAGGAACGAGACAUCCCAAUUGAGGUCUUUGAAUUGGACAACAAGAAUGACAAGAUAAUUGCCUUUGCAUGGGAGCCUAAAGGUCACCGCUUUGCUGUUAUUCAUGGUGAUGGGCCUAAGCCUGAUAUAAGUUUCUACACCAUGAAAGCAGUCAACAAUAAUGUUAGUCGUGUGUCCAAGCUCACCACACUCAAGGGCAAGCAGGCCAAUGCAUUGUUCUGGUCUCCUGCUGGGCGUUUCAUUGUUCUGGCAGGGAUGAGGGGUUUCAAUGGCCAGCUGGAGUUCUUCAACGUUGAUGAACUUGAGACCAUGGCGACAGGAGAACAUUUUAUGGCGACUGACAUCAUGUGGGAUCCUACUGGAAGAUAUCUCGCAACUGCAGUUACCUCGGUUCAUGAGAUGGAAAAUGGUUUCCAAAUCUGGUCCUUCAAUGGCAAGCAAAUUUACAAGGUUUUAAAGGAUCAAUUCUAUCAGUUCCAAUGGCGCCCAAGGCCACCGUCGCUACUUACUCCCGAGAAGGAGGAGGACAUCUCAAAGAACCUCAAGCGGUACAGCAAGAAGUACGAACAAGAGGAUCAGGACGUGCACCACCUUUUGGACGAGGAGGAGCGCAAGAGACGGACGCGGCUUCAAGAGGUGUGGGAAGCAUGGGUCGCCAAGUGGAAGCAGCUGCACGAGGAUGAGGGAGCGUUCAGGAUGCAGCUUAGGGGCGGGGAGGACAGCGACAAGGAAGAAGAGGCGGAAUACAAGGAGAUUGAGGCGGAGGAGCUGGUUGAUGUCACAGAAGAAACCGUUGCCUUUGACCUGGACCAGGAGUGA
rnacentral:rRNA from 1 species